CGGGUGCACUGAUCCGGCCGGGCCUUUCCCUCUGUGGAACCCCAUGGCCUUCACUGGCUGUGCGGGGGAAACAGGACUUUUACUGUGAAAAAAUUAGAGUGCUCCAGGCAGGCCUAUGCUCGAAUACAUUAGCAUGGAAUAAUAGAAUAGGACGCGUGGUUCUAUUUUGUUGGUUUCUAGGACCGCCGUAAUGAUUAAUAGGGACAGUCGGGGGCAUCAGUAUUCAAUUGUCAGAGGUGAAAUUCUUGGAUCUAUUGAAGACUAACUACUGCGAAAGCAUUUGCCAAGGAUGUUUUCAUUGAUAAGGAACGAAAGUUAGGGGAUCGAAGACGAUCAGAUACCGUCGUAGUCUUAACUAUAAACUAUGCCGACUAGGGAUCGGACGAUGUUAUUUCUUGACGCGUUCGGCACCUUUCGAGAAAUCAAAGUGCUUGGGCUCCAGGGGGAGUAUGGUCGCAAGGCUGAAACUUAAAGAAAUUGACGGAAGGGCACCACCAGGGGUGGAACCUGCGGCUUAAUUUGACUCAACACGGGGAAACUCACCAGGUCCAGACACAGUGAGGAUUGACAGAUUGAGAGCUCUUUCUUGAUUCUGUGGGUGGUGGUGCAUGGCCGUUCUUAGUUGGUGGAGUGAUUUGUCUGCUUAAUUGCGAUAACGAACGAGACCUUAACCUGCUAAAUAGCCCGUACUACUCUGGCAGUUCGCCGGCUUCUUAGAGGGACUAUCGG
rnacentral:rRNA from 1 species